UAGGGAAUCUUCCGCAAUGGACGCAAGUCUGACGGAGCAACGCCGCGUGAGUGAAGAAGGAUUUCGGUUCGUAAAACUCUGUUGUUAGAGAAGAACAGCGCAUAGAGUAACUGUUAUGCGUGUGACGGUAUCUAACCAGAAAGCCACGGCUAACUACGUGCCAGCAGCCGCGGUAAUACGUAGGUGGCAAGCGUUGUCCGGAUUUAUUGGGCGUAAAGCGAGCGCAGGCGGUCAAUUAAGUCUGAUGUGAAAGCCCCCGGCUCAACCGGGGAGGGUCAUUGGAAACUGGUUGACUUGAGUGCAGAAGAGGAGAGUGGAAUUCCAUGUGUAGCGGUGAAAUGCGUAGAUAUAUGGAGGAACACCAGUGGCGAAGGCAACUCUCUGGUCUGUAACUGACGCUGAGGUUCGAAAGCGUGGGUAGCAAACAGG
rnacentral:rRNA from 1 species